rnacentral:rRNA from 1 species
UACGUAGGGUGCGAGCGUUGUCCGGAAUUAUUGGGCGUAAAGGGCUCGUAGGCGGUCUGUCACGUCGGGAGUGAAAACUCAGGGCUUAACCCUGAGCCUGCUUCCGAUACGGGCAGACUAGAGGUAUGCAGGGGAGAACGGAAUUCCUGGUGUAGCGGUGAAAUGCGCAGAUAUCAGGAGGAGCACCGGUGGCGAAGGCGGUUCUCUGGGCAUUACCUGACGCUGAGGAGCGAAAGUGUGGGGAGCGAACAGG